rnacentral:lncRNA from 1 species
AUCAGUUAGAUAUUCAACUUAUUGAAUUAGUUAAUUGUAAUUAUAGCUGACAAAUACUGUUGAAUAAUUGAAUCUGAAAGUAUAAAGAACAUUUUAAUGAAAACAAAUAUUAAAUAUAAUUAGAACUAAAGAAGUCAAAUGUCUCAAUUAUUAUUGUUUAACCCAAUCAUCCAUAUUCCAUGUCUUGUUGACAACUCUUCCUCAAACCAAAAUCCAGCUGGUCCUUCUUUCUUUGUUGUAUGAGUGAAUGUAAUCUUAAUAUAUUAAUCACCAAUUUAUUCUUUGUACUAUUUUUAGUUAAAUUUUGAUUUCAAAUUUGCGAAAUAAUUAUGAAAAUUUGAGUAUUUUUAAUUAUAUGUGUUAUUUAUAAUUUAUUUCUCUUUCUUUUCCAUUAUUAUGAUUUUUAUUUGGGAAAAUAUCUUUAAUUAAAAUUGGAUGCCAAGUGGGUCCCAGUUACAAGAGGAGACCAAACUUUGAUUGCUUUAUUCCUGGGAAACACUCA